GAUGAACGCUGGCGGCAUGCCUAACACAUGCAAGUCGAACGAACGCACGAGAAGCUUUCUCCCCUGAUGUUAUCGCCCGUCGGGUGCUUCCCACGUGGAUAACCUACCUCUCCGACUGGGAUACUUUCGUCGAACCGUAUCUUCUACCGGAUAAUAUUUCGCCCCUCUUUGUUCACACGUUAAAGUCGCUCUUUCUUUCACUUAUAGCCUAACCCGCGCUCCAUUAGCUAGUUGGUAAGGUAACUGCUCACCAAGGCAACGAGGCAUAGCCGACCUGAGAGGGUGAUCGGCCAGACGGGAACUGAGACACGGUCCAGACACCGACGGGAGGCAGCGGUAGGGAAUCUUACGGAAGGGGCGAAAGCGUGAUAGAGCAACACCGCGGGAGGGAUGAAGGACUUCGGAUCGGAAAGCGAUGUUAGUAGGAAAGAAGAAAAGUGUAAGUAACCGGGAAGAUCAUGACGGUACCGAAAGAAAAAGCCACGGCUAACUACGUG
rnacentral:rRNA from 1 species